UACGUAGGUCGCAAGCGUUGUCCGGAUUUACUGGGCGUAAAGAGCGCGCAGGCGGCUGGUCAAGUCCGAUGUAAAAUCUCCCGGCUUAACUGGGAAACUGCAUCGGAAACUGAUCGGCUUGAAGGUGGGAGAGGGUAGUGGAAUUCCCGGUGUAGUGGUGAAAUGCGUAGAUAUCGGGAGGAACACCAGUGGCGAAGGCGACUACCUGGCCCAUUCUUGACGCUGAGGCGCGAAAGCUAGGGGAGCGAACGGG
rnacentral:rRNA from 1 species